rfam:Salmo salar isolate Sally breed double haploid chromosome ssa19, whole genome shotgun sequence.
CUUCCCCUCCCUUACUCCAGUCACUCUGUCCCCAGUGGAGUGGUCUGGCAUUGAUGGGAUAGAGCACCACGGCUAUCUCGCCUCUCUCAUUUAAGACAUUCACCUUAAAUUAGGCUUGUGAGAGAGCUGACAAU